rnacentral:misc_RNA from 1 species
GAUGAAGAACGCAGCAAAAUGCGAUAAGUAAUGUGAAUUGCAGAAUUCAGUGAAUCAUCGAAUCUUUGAACGCACAUUGCGCCCGCCAGUAUUCUGGCGGGCAUGCCUGUUCGAGCGUCAUUUCAACCCUCAAGCCCUCGGGUUUGGUGUUGGGGAUCGGCGAGCCUUUCUGGCAAGCCGGCCCCGAAAUCUAGUGGCGGUCUCGCUGCAGCCUCCAUUGCGUAGUAGCUAACACCUCGCGACUGGAGAGCGGCGCGGCCACGCCGUAAAACACCCAACUCUUCUGAAGUUGACCUCGAAUCAGGUAGGAAUACCCGCUGAACUUAAGCAUAUCAAUAAGCGGAGGA